AAACAGGCUCUGAGAGCCACAACAGAAAAACAAUAAAUAGUAG
rfam:Otolemur garnettii contig113239, whole genome shotgun sequence.